GAGGAGGCAAGAGAGAGAAAAAAGGACAUUGAGAGAGGAGAGACUUCAGAGCCUUGGAGAAGGAGCCAAGAAGCUGCCCUCCAGGACAGGCUGGCAGGAUAUGUGGCCAUUUCAGCCAUUUCCUCACCAUCCGAAGGCCUGCCCCACUUUCCUCAUUGACUGCCACAUUGCUAAUAGCAAGUGCAUUCAUUACAUCACCAUUAGGUGUCCACUAUGACCCCAGCUCUCUCUUCUCACCAGUUCUUAAUUUCUUCCCUGGGGUAAGUGAUGUUUUUAAUGCUCCAAAUUUUAAUGCCCUGAAGUCAUCUAUGGAGCUAAUCCUUAAAUGUCAACUUUCUCUAAUUUAUCAGUUACAAUUGAAGCCUUUUGUCCUGGGCCAUUUUUCCUAGACUUCCAGCUAGGAGUCUUUGCAUCCAGAAGAAGGACGCCUCACCCCGGUCACCACACUAACGCAGGAGGGGAGGGGCAAACAGCAGCUCCCUGGGUGUGAUCUUCUCACCUCUCAGCUGAAGGAGACGCCCACUUGCUGCUGGGGUGUCAGUAGACCUGCUGCUGUGGGCAGGAAAGAGAACCACUCCCUUUCUCAGCUCCUUUUCAGAGAAAUGCAAACCUAGACACUUCAAGACAGAGGACACUGCCUUGUGGUAUCACUGAGUUCUCUCUCAGUACCGCCCAAAAGUGGACAGAUUUUCUGUUUAUUUUGCUCAUUUUCUCCAGCAUGAGUUCUGUGGCCCUUGCACGCCCAUCACUCCCCUGCCAUAAGUAACAACUCCUGCCUAUAGACAGAAUACCCUGAGAACACAGGGGUCCCACCUCCUCCCUUCAGGACCCAUUCUUUGCAGACAGUGCUCUGCCCCUUCUUCAAAUCAUUGACCAGAGUUUUCUACCUCAACUUGGUAAUCCUCCCAUCUGGCCAAUGGGAUGGGGUGGAAUAAACAUUUAUUUCACAGAUCGUUUAUUUGGAUCCCACAUGGUUUGACUGAAGCCUGGGGGAAGAGCUAUUAGGUAGGUGCCAAAGUAAUUGCCAUUACUUUCAAUGGCAAAAAUGGCAAUUACUUUGGCACCAACCUAAUAGUAAAAGACUGCCUUUAGGGGGUUCACCAUUGCUGGAGAAACCGACGUGAAAAAUGACCCUUAGAUCUAGUGCAGCAAGUAUUUCAUCAGCGUACAUACAGCCCAGGAGAGGAGACCUCCAGCCUCAAUGGGAGGAGGGCCUUAUGCAGGAGAAGGGGUAUCUGUUUUGAUUCAAGAGGUAAAUUGCAAAGGCU